AUCUUCUGACAUCAGACUCGGACUUCUCUUGAACUGAAUUUUAAUGUGCGUAUUGUUAUGUGUUUACUUUUCUACAUUGGCUAGAGGUAUAGGGGGAGGGUUGAGAUCUCACAAACAUGUUUAACCCCGCCGCAUUUUUGCGCCUGUCCCAAGUCAGGAGCCUCUGGCCUUUGUUAGUCUUGUAUUAUUUUAAUUUUAGUUUCUUGUGUACAAUUUGGAAAUUAGUAUGGCGUUCAUUAUCACUGAACUAGUAUAUAUUUGUUUAGGGGCCAGCUCAAGGACGCCUCCGGGUGCGGGAAUUUCUCGCUACAUUGAAGACCUGUUGGUGACCUUCUGCUGUUGUUUUUUUCUAUGGUCGGGUUGUUGUCUCUUUGGCACAUUCCCCAUUUCCAUUCUCAAU
rnacentral:lncRNA from 1 species